AUUGAACGCUGGCGGCAUGCCUUACACAUGCAAGUCGAACGGCAGCGGGGGAGAAGCUUGCUUUUCCUGCCGGCGAGUGGCGAACGGGUGAGUAAUACAUCGGAACGUGCCCUGUAGUGGGGGAUAACUAGUCGAAAGAUUAGCUAAUACCGCAUACGACCUGAGGGUGAAAGUGGGGGACCGCAAGGCCUCAUGCUAUAGGAGCGGCCGAUGUCUGAUUAGCUAGUUGGUGGGGUAAAGGCCUACCAAGGCGACGAUCAGUAGCUGGUCUGAAGAGACGAUCAGCCACACUGGGACUGAGACACGGCCCAGACUCCUACGGGAGGCAGCAGUGGGGAAUUUUGGACAAUGGGCGAAAGCCUGAUCCAGCAAUGCCGCGUGUGAAGAAGGCCUUCGGGUUGUAAAGCACUUUUGUCCGGAAAGAAAUGGCUCUGGUUAAUACCUGGGGUCGAUGACGGUACCGGAAGAAUAAGGACCGGCUAACUACGUGCCAGCAGCCGCGGUAACAC
rnacentral:rRNA from 1 species